rnacentral:rRNA from 1 species
UGGGGAAUAUUGCGCAAUGGAGGCAACUCUGACGCAGCCAUGCCGCGUGUGUGAAGAAGGCCCUCGGGUUGUAAAGCACUUUCAAUUGGGAGAAAAAGCUUGUCGUUAAUAGCGGCAAGCCUUGAUGUUACCUUUAGAAGAAGCACCGGCUAACUCCGUGCCAGCAGCCGCGGUAAUACGGAGGGUGCGAGCGUUAAUCGGAAUUACUGGGCGUAAAGCGCGCGUAGGCGGUUGCUUAAGUCGGAUGUGAAAGCCCCGGGCUCAACCUGGGAACUGCAUUCGAUACUGGGCGACUAGAGUACGAGAGAGGGAGGUAGAAUUCCACGUGUAGCGGUGAAAUGCGUAGAUAUGUGGAGGAAUACCGGUGGCGAAGGCGGCCUCCUGGCUCGAUACUGACGCUGAGGUGCGAAAA